AGGUCAGACUCUCUGGUACUUGAAGUCCUUGCUGUCCACCCUCUCCACUGAGGACCUGUUGAUAUUAAGUGGGGUGUAGUUCCUUUCCUGCUUCUUCCCAAAGUCCACUAUCAUAUCUUCAGUCUUGCUGACAUUCAUGAGUAGGUUGUUGUCCUGAC